GGCAAGUGGCCAGGGGACCUUAUAUCCUCCCCCGGGCGGGGGGGCCUCUUCCUUUCGCCGGGGCGGCGCGACGCAAGAUGGCGGUGCAGAUCUCCAAGAAGCGCAAGUUUGUCGCUGAUGGUAUCUUCAAAGCUGAGCUAAAUGAGUUUCUGACUCGUGAGUUAGCUGAAGAUGGAUACUCUGGAGUAGAGGUCCGAGUUACUCCAACGAGGACUGAAAUUAUCAUCCUUGCUACCAGAACACAAAACGUUCUUGGUGAGAAGGGACGCCGAAUCCGUGAGCUGACUGCUGUUGUACAGAAAAGGUUUGGAUUUCCUGAAGGAAGCGUUGAGCUCUAUGCUGAGAAGGUGGCCACAAGAGGUCUUUGUGCUAUUGCCCAAGCAGAAUCCUUGCGUUACAAACUUCUGGGAGGUUUAGCAGUGCGUCGAGCCUGCUAUGGCGUCCUCCGCUUCAUCAUGGAGAGUGGUGCUAAGGGUUGUGAGGUGGUGGUGUCCGGUAAACUCAGAGGCCAGCGAGCCAAGUCUAUGAAGUUUGUGGAUGGCCUGAUGAUCCACAGUGGAGAUCCUGUAAACUACUAUGUCGAUACAGCUGUGCGCCACGUCCUCCUCAGGCAGGGUGUGCUGGGUAUUAAAGUAAAGAUUAUGUUGCCUUGGGACCCAAGUGGGAAGAUUGGACCCAAGAAACCGCUGCCAGACCAUGUCAGCAUUGUGGAGCCCAAGGAAGAGAUCUUACCCACCACACCCAUCUCCGAGCAGAAAGGUGGCAAACCAGAACAGCCAGCCAUGCCUCAGCCAGUUCCCACUGCAUAAUGGGGUGCACCCAGUCUUUGACUGCAAGGUCAGUUGCUACAGUGCAGGGUCUGGGGUGAUGGAGUGGAAAGUAAGGGCAAUAGGAUUUUUCAACACUUGGAAGGAGAAGGUGGACUGUGGCCCGUGAAAGGAUCUUAAUAAAAUCAUAAAAGACA